UACGGAGGGUGCAAACGUUGCUCGGAAUCAUUGGGCGUAAAGCGAACGUAGGCGGCUAUGUAAGUCGGGUGUGAAAGCCCUCGGCUCAACCGAGGAAGUGCAUUCGAAACUGCAUGGCUUGAGUAUCGGAGAGGAUAGCGGAAUUCCCGGUGUAGAGGUGAAAUUCGUAGAUAUCGGGAGGAACACCAGUGGCGAAGGCGGCUAUCUGGACGAAUUCUGACGCUGAAGUUCGAAAGCGUGGGGAGCAAACAGG
rnacentral:rRNA from 1 species